AUUGAACGCUGGCGGCAGGCCUAACACAUGCAAGUCGAGCGGAUGAAGGGAGCUUGCUCCUGGAUUCAGCGGCGGACGGGUGAGUCAUGCCUAGGAAUCUGCCUGGUAGUGGGGGAUAACGUCCGGAAACGGGCGCUAAUACCGCAUACGUCCUGAGGGAGCAAGUGGGGGAUCUUCGGACCUCACGCUAUCAGAUGAGCCUAGGUCGGAUUAGCUAGUGGGUGGGGUAAAGGCUUACCAAGGCGACGAUCCGUAACUGGUCAGAGAGGAUGAUCAGUAACGCUGGUACUGAGACACGGUCCAGCCUCCUACGAGAGAGAGCAGGCGGGGAUACUUGACGGAGGGAGAAAGCCUGAUUAAGGCACGCCGCGUGAGUGAAGAAGGUCUUCGUAUUGUAAAGGUCUUGAAGUUGGGAGGAAUGGCAGUAAGUUAAUACCUUGCUGUUUAGACGAUACCAACAAAAUAAGCACCGGCCAACUUCGUGC
rnacentral:rRNA from 1 species